rnacentral:rRNA from 1 species
CCUACGGGGGGCAGCAGUGGGGAAUAUUGGGCAAUGGGCGCAAGCCUGACCCAGCAACGCCGCGUGAAGGAAGAAGGCUUUCGGGUUGUAAACUUCUUUUCUUAGGGACGAAGAAAGUGACGGUACCUGAGGAAUAAGCCACGGCUAACUACGUGGCAGCAGCCGCGGCAAUACGUAGGUGGCAAGAGUUAUCCGGAUUUAUGGGGUGUAAAGGGCGUGUAGGCGGGAGCGCAAGUCAGAUGUGAAAACUCAGGGCUCAACCCUGUGCCUGCAUUUGAAACGGUGUUUCUUGAGUGAUGGUGAGGGAAGCGGAAUUCCGGGUGUAGCGGUGAAAUGCGUAGAUAUACGGAGGAACACCAGUGGCGAAGGCGGAUUGCUAAACAGUAACUGACGCUGAGGCGCGAAAGCGUGGGGAGCAAACAGGAUUAGAUACCCUUGUAGUC